rfam:Myotis brandtii contig166487, whole genome shotgun sequence.
CUUGGGGUCGGGGGUGGUCCCUCAGCCUGGAAUGAGAGAGGGCACAGGCCAGGCUGAGGGACCCUACCAGUGCAUC